rnacentral:rRNA from 1 species
AUUGAACGCUGGCGGCAGGCCUAACACAUGCAAGUCGAGCGGAUGAAGGGAGCUUGCUCCUGGAUUCAGCGGCGGACGGGUGAGUAAUGCCUAGGAAUCUGCCUGGUAGGGGGGGAUAACGUCCGGAAACGGGCGCUAAUACCGCAUACGUCCUGAGGGAGAAAGUGGGGGAUCUUCGGACCUCACGCUAUCAGAUGAGCCUAGGUCGGAUUAGCUAGUUGGUGGGGUAAAGGCCUACCAAGGCGACGAUCCGUAACUGGUCUGAGAGGAUGAUCAGUCACACUGGAAGUGAGACACGGUCCAGACUCCUACGGGAGGGAGCAGUGGGGAAUAGUGGACAAUGGGCGAAAGCCUGAUCCAGCGAUGCCGAGUGUGUGAAGAAGGUCUUCGGAUUGUAAAGCACGUUAAGUUGGGAGGAAGGGCAGUAAGUUAAUACCUUGCUGUUUUGACGUUACCAACAGAAUAAGCACCGGCUAACUUCGUG